GCUCCAGGUGCAAAUUCUGCCCCAGGCACUGGGUGCCACACAGGGACAAGUGCUACUGGCUGUCUGGAGAGAAUCAAUACUGGAGCAGGGGCCGUGAUGACUGCUCACGGAGGGGAUCUCACCUGCUAGUGAUCCAGGACCAGGAGGAGCUGGGGUUCAUACAGAAUAUUAUAUGAGAUCAAAGUCCGGUGUGGAUUGGACUCAACAUCACAUCCCCAGGGAGGAAUUGGACCAGGGUGGAUGGUUCCCCGUUCAACCAAACACUAUUCAUGGUAUCGGGUCCUGCUGAAGAGAACAGCUGUGCUGCAGUAAAGAAGAAUUGGAUCAAGUCUGAAAUCUGCAACACUCACUAUAAAUGGAUUUGCCAAAAGGAAGCUGUGCUCAUUUAAAUGGGUGGGUUGGCGACCUCUGUUUGCAUAUAUGGAAUGGCGAACAUCCUGUGUUCUCAUCUUUAUUUCAGCUACCAAAGCCCCAGGCAGUGUAAACCUGGGUAACACCGAGAAAGUGAAUGACGCAAUGCUGAUUUACACCCAUUGGGGGUCUGGGCCCAUUGCCUCCAGUGGAUUAUGGCCAGUUCACACCAGCUGGGAAAUUGGCCCUUUGAUUAUUUUAAAAAUAAAUAAAUCUAUAAUUUUUUCACAAUG